UAUAGUGCCGUAGUUUCCAAUUUCUGUGGCAGAUGUUUCCACAAAGAUAAAUAACGUACGGAUUCUCAACAAAGAGCCUUUAUGUGGCCACAGGUUGCAUCAGCUGUGUGGUGCCUGAAAAUGAAGCGGACUGGUGAGCCGCUUCCAGAGCUGACGGCGUGACUCAUUGUGUUUGUGCAUCGUCAGUGUUAGAGCAGACAGGAAUCAUCAUGGGAAGCUGAUUGCAGGCAGGAGUGAGUCAAAAGAGGGCCUCCUUCCCCUGAGCUAGACGUGCAGGGACAGUUCAAAACUUGUCUCAGCGAGAAGUUGCCCUACUGCAGGAAUUUUUGUUUUGAAUGAAAGAAGCACUUAUUUAUUUAGGGGAGGCAUGAUUACUUAAAGCGGCAUAUAAAAACAUAUUUGAUCCUCUGACUAACUUCACAGUUAUUCUAAUGUUGUCUUGCAAAACUUAAGCCCUUUCUGUCAUCAUUUUAAAGCUAGUUUAAUAUUUAUGGAUCACAAGAAUGGAUAUGGAGGAUUAAAUACACUAUCAGGUUCUGCCUGCGAAGCUAGUUGACGGGGCAUGUUAUGACAGACAGAGGCCCUGUCUCCACACGAAAUCUCUUGGAGUAAAGUGUUAUAUUUAGAAAAAACGUGUCUGUAUUCCAGCUCUGCACCAUGAAAAAUCUAGAGUUUAGAGCACCCGAUAUCUACACAGAGAAAAACUGUAUAUUUUAAUAUGCAUUCAGCCUAGCUACCAUGAAACUUUUCCAAGCGUAAAGAUAGUUAUGAGCCUGAACAGCUCUUAGGUGAGGAAGCAUAUUGGCAACAGAUAGAGAGAUUUCAGGGAGGGUAUCAAGCAAAGUAAAGAUGGGCAGCCACAUCCUAAAAGGCAUUAUUGAAUAAAGGAAGAUAGGCAUUUUCAGUGAGCUGAACACCUUACUCUUGCCAGUGAUUUACAUAGAGGGCAAAUCUCAACAUCGAGCAGGAAGGAACGGGGAAGAAACUCCACAUGUUGAAACUCAUGUCCACAUACAGAGCAUGCCAGCCUCCUUUCCAGCUUCUGCAGUCUUACACAUGCCAGUAUCUUAAAUGAUGAACCUGAGACAGAUCCCAUGACAUCACAAGAUGCUGGUAAUCCUUUGUGUAAUAACAGGUUAAUUGUUUGCCAGCUAUAUAUAUAUGGCAAGAUGCCCAGUAUCAGCUGAGCCGUGAAAAUGGAAGUAUCAAAAUAUCCCCAUGUGUGAACACUGCAAGAAACAAAUAUUACUCUCUGCUUAAAACAAAAACAAAAAAAAAACCCACAAACCAACAAAACCCAACACCCUUACUGAGGAAAGCUUUGGUCUUCUGAAAUGAGUGCACAGGAAAAAAUCAUAAUCAACAAAUUUUACCCUGUCAGAGAACUCUCACCUAAUUUAUUCUGUUUACAGAUUUGGUCUAAUAAUAUUAUUUCUCACACCUCUUUGUAAAAUAUUCUGAGAUUUACUGAUGAAAAGUGCUAAGGAAUAAAAUAAUAUUUAUCUAUUGUACAAUUGUAAUAUCAUGAUUUUUAUAAUUUGUAUAGUUUUCUGUGAUAAUAAUUUAUUAAUGUCUUGCUUAUGAUUACAACUAAGACUGAAUUUUUUUCUUUGGAACCUACGAAUAAAAUGUAUCACUUGUUUAACAACUUGCUCAGAUCCUCCCAUAUCUAGUUAGUCUACCACCACCCCCCG